rnacentral:rRNA from 1 species
UACGAAGGGGGCUAGCGUUGUUCGGAAUUACUGGGCGUAAAGAGCGUGUAGGCGGCCAUGUAGGUCCGUUGUGAAAACUCGAGGCUCAACCUCGAGACGCCGAUGGAAACCAUGUGGCUAGAGUCCGGAAGAGGAGAGUGGAAUUCCUGGUGUAGCGGUGAAAUGCGCAGAUAUCAGGAAGAACACCCGUGGCUAAGGCGGCUCUCUAGUACGGUACUGACGCUGAGACGCGAAAGCGUGGGGAGCGAACAGG